AGAACAGUUUAACAUGUAACCAGAAUCUAUACAAAAAUAGCUCCUAGCCCUGUCACUAGAUUGACAAGAAGCGAGAGCGCCAAAUUUUCUUGCGCUGCUGCCCUCUCAGCCAACCGUCACGUACAAUGACAGCUGAACUUCCGUUGCCACCACAGUCACAAGAGAAGGAGAAAACUUUGUGUCGGACAGAAGAGUGAGCACGAAUCAUAUCGCGUGCAGUUCGGUCGUGAGUCUCGUUGGGAAAAGUCGUUCCGGCGUCGUGCAAAACCCACGACAUAUUAGAGUUGAUCCGGGUCCUCGCAGCACAUCAGACCGCUUCAAGACGAACCGAAAAAUCGCUAGAACAACGCUCUAGCGAGCAGAAAGAGCAAAUUUUGGGAACAGGGAGUGCGCACGAAUUCUGGUCCCAGUCGUAAGUCUCGCAUGUGGGAAAACUUAACCUCAUUUGUAAUACAUCCCCUCAACGCAGAUUUUCUGGUCGGUUCUGGAACACCACAAGAACUCGUCGCAGUGAGGUCAUCCGACUGCGUAGGACGUUAGGAAAUAUCAACUCACAACCGAACGUCCACAGAAUCCCAGGAGGAGAGUCACGAGAUUAGUACUCCUACAAUCACUCAGUUUCACCCGAAGCAAUCCGGGAGGACAGAAAGGCCCCAGAAGGGGCCUUUUUCCACACGUGGGAUACUGCAUACUAGACCUCCGGAGAGACGACGACGCAGACACAGGGCUGGAACAAGGAUUCGUUCUGUAGGCCUUCUCCAGUGAACGAACGCCAACGGCCCGCGGUGCUAGUGGGUCGGCCCCACUCGACGAUGCGGAUCGCACACCGAUUGCAAGUCGAAGGACGUGUAAACUGACCGGAGAGGUUGAUACCAGACAGACACGACAGCGCGUAUUUCUUUGCCCCAGGUGCCCAGCCUCAACUCCAAGCACGAACGGCCAUCUAGAGGGUCCUUCAGGUUUGCAUGCCCACGAGACACGGCGCGAAUCGAAUCGCCCAGCGAGAAAGGAUCCUGCGCAGCGGACGGCAUUGGUACAGGGUGAGGCAGCAGAGCGGUGAGCAAAUGCACAAGUUACUCUAAAACCACCAAAAUGAAGCAUUAUGUUAGAUUUUAAGAGAAAUUUGCUCGAUAUGAGCCGAAAUUAGGAGUUUUAGGGCCAUAGGAUUAGAUAUAACCUAUAUCGGGUGAGCAAACCCAGAAAGGCAAAUAAAAUCAUGUUCUUAUAAG